GGAAGGGUAGCCAAGUGGUUUAAGGCAGCGGUCUCGAAAACCGCGGCUCUGCAUAAGGGCCUCGUGGGUUCGAAUCCCACCCCUUCCGCCA
rnacentral:tRNA from 1 species